AACGCACAUUGCGCCCCCUGGUAUUCCGGGGGGCAUGCCUGUCCGAGCGUCAUUGCUGCCCUCAAGCCCGGCUUGUGUGUUGGGCCCUCGUCCCCCGGCUCCCGGGGGACGGGCCCGAAAGGCAGCGGCGGCACCGCGUCCGGUCCUCGAGCGUAUGGGGCUUUGUCUUCCGCUCUGCAGGCCCGGCCGGCGCUGGCCGACGCAUAAACAACUUUUUUCCAGGUUGACCUCGGAUCAGGUAGGGAUACCCGCUGAACUUAA
rnacentral:misc_RNA from 1 species